rnacentral:rRNA from 1 species
CCACAAUGGGGGAAACCCUGAUGGAGCGACGCCGCGUGCGGGAUGAAGGCCCUAUGGGUUGUAAACCGCUGUUCAGUGGAAGAACAUCCUCCGGCUGAAUAGGUCGGAGGCCUGACGUUACCACUGCAGAAAGUCCCGGCCAACUCCGUGCCAGCAGCCGCGGUAAUACGGGGGGGACAGCGUUGUCCGGGAAUCAUUGGGCGUAAGGGGCGCGUAGGCGGCGAGGAAAGUCGAAUGUGAAAUCUUGCGGCUCAACUGCAAAACUGCGUUCGAAACUUCCUCGGCUUGAGUAUGAGAGAGGUGUG